UUCGCGGAAAAACUGCAUUAAUGGACCACUGUAUCACGCACCAUCACCGGUUCAACAUCAACAACCCUUCCAUCGUCGAUAUAACAUAUAAGAAACAGGCUCUGCAAGUGUUGGAGAUGUGUCACAUAGCGACCACCUCCAAUACGGUCAACCGUCGGACAGACACCGACAACUUAAGCUGUGCGUACGCUCACCUCCUCGUAUCGAUUAAGAAUCGAAGAGAGGAGAGAAAUGCGUCGUCAACAAAUCGUUAUAGCAGACAUAACCAGAAUCAUAUUGACACUUCACAAACACAUACACACACCACCACCCAAACUACACCGAAUAUGCAUACCCCACAGUGAUUAGCAGACGGCAAUAGACAACAGGCACAGUGUUGUAUUUCGCCAAAUUUUCUAGUGUAAAAUUCUUGUUCCGUACCACCCACCCACCAUCCGAUAUAGGGUGCUGGUGAUGAAUAAGACCCGUGCGAUACCCAAUCGAGACAAACACCGUGUGCGCUACACGAAUAAACGACAAGUUGAUUCAUAUCGAGCCCUGAAGAAGAUCCCAACAACUGGAUCGAAACGUUGGCAAUGAUUUAAAAUAAUCAACGCUUAAUUCGUGACUGAAAGCCGAAAUCCAAUUAUCAU